ensembl:lncRNA
UCCUGAGUCGCAGGGUGCGCUUGAGCGCUGGCACCAGACUUUGAAGUCAAUGCUGAAAAAUUACUGUUAUAAGACUGGGAAUAACUGGGAUGAGGGUGUGCCUUUUUGUUCUCUCUGCUCGUGAUGCAAAGCAGGAGUCUCUAGAGUUUAGCCCAGCAGAGCUAGUGUCCUGUCACAAUGUGCGUGGCCCGUUGAAAGUGUUUAAAGAGAAGCUAGGGGUGAUAACUCUUGUAAAAAUGUUUUUUGUAACCCGCUGUAGAGCGUCUGCACUAUGCUACAAGGUUAGCCAAGCAGUCACUCUCUUCCUCAGGUCAACACGAAGAGACGCUGUGACAAGAAGGCAGUCGAGCGACGCAGGUGAUUAAGUGCCCACACCUGGCUCUGCUCUUGCUGACCUAUUCUCACCUCCGUACGUGGUGGAAGACAUUGUUGUGGUAGGGAUUUCUUCUCUUGUUGCUCAGCCUGAGUUGGAGGACGACUUGAUGCCCUGUGAACGUCAUCUGUGUGGUACGCUAGCUAACUCUGAGUUCUUGUCUACAAUCUACCAGCAGCUGCUCUCCCUGCACUUCACAAACAAUGUGAUGCGCUUGCUUGGCAGGUAUCCUAGUAUUUUACAAAAUGGGCUAGAGCACGACAUUAUUGUGGGCGAUGCCCUUUAAGCAGCAUUCAUAGUGCUGUCCGCUAGCUAAAAGGGAGGCCAUGUGGAAAGGAGUUUGUUCUGAUCUUGCUAAGCCCAGCUAUAGCUCCGUGCUUGUUGGCGCCUAAGUCUGACAGUAGUCCUUGCAUCUGCACAGAUUUUCGCAAAGUGAAUGCCAAUGCCUUUCGGCAUGAAAAACACGCCUGCCACUUUUCAGCGCCUUGUGCAGUGUGUAUCCUGACGAUGUGGUGGUCUACUCUGGUGAGUGGGAGUCACAGGUCCAGUCUGGAAACUGUACGCAAAUGGCUGGCAGACGCCUCUUACCCUUAACUUGACCAAGGGUGAGUUUGGUAAAGCUACUGUUAUCUACCUUGUUGGGCAGGUCCGGCCUGUAGAUGCUAAGGUAGCUGCUGUUGUGUCGCUACCAGUGCCCAGCACAAGGCAAGAACUUAGUAACCUGCCAUGCCGAAGAAAUGCCUUUAGCGGUUUCUGUAAAUUAAGUCACUCCUCUGACAAGGUAGACAAAGGAGCCAUAAUUGUCUUCCUUUUGGAGAUUGUUUUCAGUUGCUUUGUGUUGACAGUUUUUUGUCCAUUAAAUAACCAUAUUUGCCUUUUGUCCAGGGAUUAUUAUUUUUACAUUGUUUGCGUUCACCACCCCUAGACAAUUUAGGGACGUAACAAAUGUAAUUAGUGCUUUUCUUUUUCCCUCAUCUUGUUUUUGCUUCCAAUAUUCCAGUUCUCCCGAGGGCCCGGUCAUCCUGCCUGAUGGCGUUUUUGAUGGUCUCUGUGACAAAUCGGCAUUCAGGUUCCCAGGUGGAUGGAUGAAUGGCUCUGGGGAGAAGCCAGUGUUGUACUUAAAAUGGCCCAGGAUUUUGAGUUGCUGAUGAUGGCGGUUUACAUCUCUUUCCAGCACGCUUUCUUCGUCCUUAUUUAAAGAAAAGGUAAGAAGGGUUAAUAUUCGAGUGGGCCCUGGUGCGAAUGCACUGCUACUAAUUUAACUGAAUCAUCCAUGAGUGUGAGAUGAGCUUGGCUGUGGUUGGUGUCCAAGGAACCUGAUCACUGUUCACCUGAAACAGGUUCUCUUGGAUCCCUUUCAGGGUUCUAGUCUGCUGUCCCAGGAUGCCACUAAUGGCCACCACCAGAGUCCUCUGUCUGGGUUGUAGCUCUGAAGAAAACUGGAGAUGAAAAUUUCUGCCAUAAACACAUUUUUGGCCUGUGCCAGCAGUAUCUUUAGCUGCUUCUUCAUAUACAGUUGUGUAAAAAAGUGUUUGCCCCCUUCCUGAUUUUUUAUUUUUGCAUGUUUGUCACACUUAAAUGUUUCAAAUUAGACAAAGAUAACAAGUAAACACAAAAUGCAGUUAUUAUUAUGGGGAAAAAAUUCCAAACUUGCAUCGCCCUGUGUGAAAAAAGGAUUUCUCCCUAAACCUAAUAACUGGUUGGGCCACCCUUAGCAGCAACCGCUGCAAUCCAGCGUUUGUGAUAACUGGCAAUGAGUCUUUUACAGGGCUGUGCAGGAAUUUUGGCCCACUUCUCUUCGCAGAAUUGUUUUAAUUAAGUUUUUGAGCAUGAACCGCCUUUUUAAGAUCAUGCCACAGCAUCUCAAUUGGAUUCCGGUCGGGACUUUGACUAGGCCACUCAGUCUUCAUUUAGUUUUUCUUAAGCCAUUCAGAGGUGGAGUUGUCCUGCUGCAGAACCCAAGUGCGCUUCAGCUUGAGGUCACGCAAAACAGCCCCAGACAUCACACCACCACCACCAUAUUUUACUGUUGGUAUAAUGUUCCUUUUCUGAAAUGGCGUGUUACUUCUACGCCAGUUGUAAUGGGACAUAUGUCAGCGUAUCGUACCUUAUUUAACCUGCAUGCUUUUUGUGUGAGUUGUAAGGACUGCUGUCCCUUAUGUAAACUUCCUUUAGCUGACAAAAUAACUAUUGCUUCUACCUGUAAAUACUUGAUAAUCAACUGGCGAACCAGGUGCAAGGCGGAGUGUGGCUGAUUGGUGGAGUUUAAAAGAGCUAACGACUGCCACUACGGGGCGGACGGAGGACGAGGAGCAGCACGGACUGAACAGAGGAUAAUCUGGAUAGGAGAAACCUUGGCCACCCAGAAGAUUGGAUUGUUCCAGAUGGAUAUGUGACUGGUUAGAGGAUUGUGAUUUUAAGAGAAACAGUCUCUACGAUUUUAAGAUAUAACUUAUUCCUACCUUUUUAUAAAAAUAAAACUAUUUUCAUAGAUAUAUCCCUUCUGGUCUCUGUGUCCUGGGUGUACCGAUAUAAGAGGGGCCAUACGGCUGACACCUACACGUUCCAAAAAGUUCAACUUUUGUCCCGUCAGUCCAGAGUAUUUUCCCAAAAGUCUUUGGAAUCAUAAAGAUGUUUUCAGGCAAAACUGAGACGAGCCUUUGUUCUUUUUUCUCAGCAGUGGUUUUCGUCAAAUUCCAUUUUUUGUCUUUUUUAUUUUAUUUUUUUAUGGUGGAGUCAUGAACACUAACCUUGAUUGAAGCACGCGAGUCCUGCAGUUCUUUGGAUGUUGUUCUGGAGUCUUUUGUGACCUCUUUGAUGAGUCGUCGCUGCGCUCCUGGGGUAAUACUGGUCGGCCUCCUGGGAAGGUUCACCACUGUUCCAUGUUUUUGCGAUUUAUGGAUUGUGGCUUGCUGGAGUCCCAAAGCUUUAGAAAUGGCUUUGUAACCUUUUACAGACUGUCUGAUCUCAAUUCCUUUUUCUUAUUUGUUCCUGAAUUUCUCUGGAUCGCAGCAUGAUUUCUAGCUUUUGAGGAUCUUUUGGUUUACUUUGUCAGGCAUUAAGUGAUUUCUUGAUUUCUUGAACAGGUGGGGCAGUGAUCAGGCCUGGGUGUCGCUAGAGAUAUUGAACUCCGCUUUCCAAACAUGUGAUAAACCAGUUAGUUCAUGUUUUAACAGGGGGGCAAUUCCUUUUUCACGCAGGGCCAUGUAGGUUUGGAUUUUUUUUUCUCCCCAUAAUAACUUUCAUUUAAAAACUGCAUUUUGUGUUAUCUUUGUCUAAUAUGUAAAUGUGUUUAAUCUGAAACAUUAAAGUGUGACAAACAUGCAAAAAAAUAAGGGGGCCAACUAUUUUUCACACUAACGUCAGCUGCUGGUGAAGACGAAGGAUCUCAAAAUUUGCUUCUACUCCAUCAGUUGGUGCAACGACGUAACUGCGAUCCUACAACACUGUUCUCCUGAUCCGGAAUCUUCAACUGUAAACUUUUACUCCCCCUGUAAGUUCGCUUAAUUCAUCAGCGGACACUCGCCGACCAGAUACGGCGUGUGGAGUGGACCUACCCAGACUCCUUAGUUAUUGUCCUUGGGGACUUUAACAGAGGAAAUCUCAGCCAUGUUGCCAGUUGGUUUAACCAAUAUGAAGCCUUAGGUUGAUAGGAUGGUGACCAAUUGGAUAAAUGAGUGAAUGUGGGGUGCGAUACGGAGCGGUAGUAAUAAACAUGUCUACCUUGGUACACAGCCUGUCUCACGCACAUUAUUAAGCAAACAUUGUGGAUCAACACACCUUUACAUGAGAAUGACGCGUGUUUGCAGUGGACG